rnacentral:snRNA from 1 species
CAAUGCUUCCUCUGGCACUAAAAACUAGAAAAUACAGAGAAGAUUAGCAUGGUCCCCACAUAAGAAUGACACAAAAAUUUGUGAAAUGUUCCAUAUUUUU